GGCCUCGUAGUUCAAUUGGAUAGAAUAUCAGAUUUCGGCUCUGAGGGUUGGGGGUUUGAAUCCCUCCG
rnacentral:tRNA from 1 species